GUUUUUUCAGUUUUUCAAAGAAGUUGGGGUACAGAAUGAAGAUAAGGGGUGGGGUAGCAAACAUUGCAGUUACAUUGGAGUAUAGUAGCUUAGUACACUGUAGGUUAUACAACUUAUUUACAGCGAUUGUACUUUUGUUCAUUUUAGGACCAGAGUGGUCUGCCUCUCGGAUCUUCACCCUCUUCUUGCUUGGAGAGGUUCUUUUGAAUGUGUUGUUGUAUGUCCUAGCUUGUGGAGUCGGAGUGGUUUUUGUAGCGUCCAUGUCUCCUAGGGUGUGUGGAUUUUGUGGUUUGUAGGGUGUACUUUUGUCGGUGUCGUGUGCUUGUGUUUCGUGGGGAGGCAAUGAGGGGUUUCCGUUUGUCCGUUGUGUGACCCUUCGUCCUCUCUGGUCUUUGUCUGUAGGGUGAUGUGUAUAUGUGCUGUGGGUUAGGUGCUUUUUGGUGUCUCAGGUUUUUGUCUUGUCUUCGUUUUUUGCUAUGGGGGUUUUGGUGUUUGCUCUUGAAGGUGAGUUUGGGUUGGGUCGGGGUUCUAGGUCGUGUAGUUGGGAUGUGGUGAGUUUCACGGUAUGCUGAUGUGGUGUCUUAGUGAGCUUGGUUGAUCGUUCAUAUGGCCUGGUAUGUGGGGGUGGGCUGGGAGGAAAGGGGGAUAUUGAUGGGGUGGAGGGAGUAGGCUGGGGUAGGGGAGGUAGGAUCCCUGUCAGGGCUGUUUGCUAUUUUUUGGGGGGGUGAGUUCAAUUGGGGGGACGUUCGUAGUCCUCUGUUCCUCCUUUUACUUAAGUGGUAGGGGUUGUUGGAUCCAUGGAUCCCAUAUCUUAUGGUAGUGUUGUGUCGUGUCGUGUAGCAGUGCCGACAGUUUGUCCAUUUCCAUGGCUUCAUUCAUUUUCCUGAUCAUAGUGGUUAAUUGGGGUGUAUUUUGGUUGCCCCACUGUUCUCCUAUCGUGUGUCUGGUUGCUAGUGCCAUUCUUGCUAUCAGUUUGUUUUGGGCUCUGGUAAGGGGGCUGUGUGGUUUGGAGAGUAGCCACACCCAGGGGUCCCUGGGUAUGUCCACAUCAAGUAUGUUAGAUGCCAGUGUGGUCACUUUUUCCCAUAUUUGUGAGGUUUGUGGGCAUUCUCACCAAAGGUGGAUGUAGGUGCCCUUUUGCCCACAGCCCUUCCAGCAUGAGUCCGUGGUUGUCCGGCCCAUUUGUCUCAUUCUCAGGGGUGUGAGGUACCACCUGAGUAGAGUCUUGUAUGCCUGCUCCUUGUGAUUCACACAUAUGGUGAGUGAGGCCGUAGCCUCCCAUAUGUCCGACCAAUCUGAUGGGUCCUCUGGGGGGCCUAUGUCUCUUUCCCACGCCUUCGUGUAUGAGAGGGUGUCUUCUGGGGAGUUGGCAUUUAGGAGGAGGUAUAUGGUAGAGAUUUUUCCCUUUUGCAUGGGUGCGUGUAGGCAUGUUUUUUUAAAUUAGGUUGGCCCAGCGGUGGCAGCUGCCUUGUUGUGUGGUUCAGUGAGGAAGCUGCGUAUCUAGAGGUAUCGAAAGUGGUCAAAUGUGUUUAGUGGGGUCUGUCUGGGCAGGUCUUGGAAGGGUCGGAAUUGUUGGCCUUGGAAGAAGUGGAGGAAUCUGUAUAGCCCAUUGUCCUCAUAUCUCACAAAGUCUCGAGGCGAUAGGCCUGGGGGAAAUUGAUUGUUUCUCAGAAUGGGUGUGAGAGGUGAUGGUUUGUUAACUAUGGGGUUCUUAGAGAUUGUGGUGUCCCAGAUGUGAAAGGAUGUUGUUAGGGAGGGGGUGGUUCGUGGAGUUGGUGGUCUGUCUUUCUUGGGCACCCAAAAGAGUAGUGGUCUCGUGUCAGGAGGUCAUGUUCCAGGUCCACCCAUAGCUUGAGCCCCGGUUGUGCGUGUAGGUUCUGUAUCAGGGCUAGUUGGGCUGCCUGGUAGUAGUGGUAAAAGUUUGGGAGGCCUGGUGGUUUUAUACAUUGUGGCUCUUUUGAUGCGUGGCCUUUUAUUGUACCAAAUGAAUUUGUCUAUGUUAGUUUGGAGUGUUUUGAAGUCAUGUUUGGAUAUGGGUAUGGGAAGAGUUUGAAAUAAGUAUAGGAAUCGUGGGAGUAGGUUCAUUUUUAUGGAGGCUAUUCGCCCCAGCCACGAUAUGGACAUGGGGCCCGAUGUUUGUAGGUCUAGGUGUGCUUGGCGGAGUAGUGGGGUGUAGUUCAGGGCAUAGGUUUUGUUGAGGUCUGCGGGGAGAUGCGUUCCUAGGUAGUGAAUGCUUUGCAAGUUGUAUCUAAAUGGGUGGGUUGAUUUUAUGUGUUCAAGAGUUGGCUGCUGUAUCCCUAUUGGGAGGGCUUCCGUUUUUUCUAGGUUUAGUUUGUAUCCCAAUAGGGUUGCGUAUUUUUGUAGAAUUGUCAGUAAGGGUGGGAGGGAUUGGGUAGGGUCCAUGAUCGUGAGUAAGAUAUCGUCCGCAUAGGCUGCUAUUUUAUAUUCUUCAUUCCUGACCUUGAUACCUUGUAUUUCUUGUUCCCUACGUAUGUUUUGGAGGAGGGGUUCAAGUGAUAGGGCGAACAGGAGUGGGCAGAGCGGGCAGCCCUGUCUUGUCCCAUUUUUAAUUGUGAAUUCUGGGUAUUUGGCGUUUGGUAUGAGGAGUGUGGCAGUUGGUUGGGCAUAUAGGGUCUGUAAGGCUUGAAGAAUGGGUGAUGGGAAUUUGAAUCUUUGGAGGGUGGCGAAUAGGAAUGGCCAUAGUAUGCGAUCAAAGGCCUUUUCCGCAUCCAUUGAUAAAAGAAGGGUUGGGAUUUUCCUACUUUGGGUACCCAUAUUAGAUCUAUCAUGCGUCUUGUGUUAUCCCCUGCCUGUCUUGUGGGUAUGAAGCCCACCUGGUCGGGAUGUAUUCGCUUUGGGAGGAGGGGUUGUAUUCAGUUAGCUAAAGUUUUUGUGAUUAUCUUUGUGUCCACGUUGAGUAGCGAUAUGGGUCGGUAGUGGCCUGGGUCGAGAUGUGUUUUGUCGGAUUUUGGUAUAAGGCAGAUGUUUGUUCUGAGCAUCUCCUUUGGGAGUGGGUCCCCCACUUUAGUAGUGAGUUCCUUAGAGCUGUGAGAUGGGGUAUGAGAGCAUUUGCGGAUGUCUUAUAGUAUAGGCCUGUGAAGCCGUCUGGUCCGGGGCAUUUGUUGGGUUUGAUUGUUUUUAAUGUAUUGGCGAUUUCUUCUGUCGUGAAAGGGGCUGAGAGCAUUGCUAUUGCGGUGUCCAUUAGGGAUGGGAGGGGGUGUUUUGGAGGUAUAGUUCGAUGUCUUGUUUUAGGGUUGGAGAGGGGUCUGGAUUGUGGUCAUAGAGUGAUCUAAAGUAGUUAGAGAAUAUCGAUGCUAUGUGGCUGCGGUCUUUGUGAGUGUUACCCCCCCAGGGAUUUUAUUUCAGUGAUCCGUUUAGUUUGUGUUUUUUGGCAGAGUUUGCGGGCUAGGAGGGUGUCUGUCUUAUUUGAUUUCUCAUAGAAGAGUUGUUUACUCCAUUGGAGGGCUUUUAGUGAGUCUUUGGUCAUAUAUGAUUUGAUGGCCUGUUGGUGGGUUUUUAUUUGGGCUGAUAGUGUUGGGGUGGGGUGUCGCUUAUGUUGAGCAUCUAGGGUCCUAAGGGUAAGUAAAUGGUCCUCGAGUUCCUUUAGUUUUAGUUUUUUGUGUCUUGUGGCUUCUGCAAUUAGUUUGCCUCUUAUGACGGCUUUGUGAGCCGUCCAGAGUGUUCCUAUAGCCGUCACUGAGUUUUGUUUAUAUCGAAGUAUUCUUUAAGUGCGUCUUGUAUGGUUUGUUUUAUCUCAGGUUUGUGCAGUAAGGUGGGGUUUAGACACCACGACUAAGAUCAUGCUGUCUGUGGGAUUGAUAGUGUGAGGGAUAUCGCCGCGUGGUCAGACCACGUGCUUGUGCCUAUCGUUGUUGUGAUAUCUUGGGUGAAGAGUGAGGGGGAGACCAGAAACAGGUUGAUCCUCGAGUAGGAAAGAUGGGGGUUGGAGUAGAAGGUGAAGUCUGCUAAUGUAGGAUUUUGUAUUCUCCAGAUGUCAAGGAGGCCUGAUUGGAGUAUAAAGGUCGAGAGUAGUUUAUCAUUGGCCGACGUUUUGGGCAUUGUUGUGGUAUUUUGUGGAUGGCGUUUUUAGUCCUGUUGGGGUGCUGGGACUGCAUUGAAAUCCCCUCCUAGGAUCAUGUGGUGGGAGGGGAAUAGCUUUAGAUGUGCCCGUAAUGCUGACCAGAAGGGUGGGUCUGGGGUAGUGGGAGCGUAGAUAGUCGUUAGUGCGUAUUUGUGUGUUCCGUGGUGGCCCGCUAUUGUUAGGAAUCUGCCCUGGGGGUCAGCGGUGGUUUGUUUGAAGCUAAAGGGGCAUGUAUUGUGAAUUAGUAUCGCUACUCCGUUUCUUUUUCCGUUUGGGGAGUUAACAAGGUGGUAUUCCUUGUAUUGUCCGUUUUUAAGCGGGAACGGUAUUGCUGCAUCAAAAUGAGUUUCUUGGAGGAAUAUUAUGUCAGUCCCUGUUCUAUUGGCCCAUCGCAUUAAUUGAUGGCGUUUAGCGGGGUUGCUUAAGCCCGUGCAGUUAAGGGAGAUGCAUUUCAGUUUUCCCAUCUCUGGUGGUCCGUGAGAGUUGGGG